GUUUCAGUUUACAUGGCUUAACCAGGAAGAAGAGAACAACAAAAGCGGCAACAAGACGAAACGAAAACGGAGUAAAAGAAAAAGAAACGAAAAAACCAGUAAACUAGGAAGAGAAAGAGAGGGAGAGAGAAAAGCCCGCGAAGGGAUAGAGAGAGAGAGAGAAAGCGCGGGGGCGCGAAGCGCAACGACAGCAACAGCAAGCGGCGCACCCAUCACCCACCCCUCCUCUCCUCUCCUCUCCGAUCCCCAAAUCCCUCGCGCCACCGCCCCCAUGGAUCACCACCACCUGCC
rnacentral:lncRNA from 1 species